AUUAUUUUCUGUAAGAAAAUGAGUAGGGUUAGAGACGUGAUUCUAGCAUCAGCUGAAGUUUAAAGAUCAUCCCUGUAAACCUGCUCUGGCUUUCAGUUUUCAUAGAUGAUGUUUCCUUUUCCCAGGAAGGAGAUACAUGUUGGCAACAUCUAAACUUGUCUUGUUUAAUCUAAUAUCACUCAAUUCAUUUAGAGGCUUAGUCCUAGACUUUCCUCUCUUUGGUUUGUUUUUAUUGUAUUUCUGGAGAAAUGCAGCUCAAAGUGCUCUUGUGAAACUCGGUAAAAUUUUGCUUAGUUUUAAACCUACACCCCAGAUACAGGAUGUACUAGAGAUGGUUCUGGCUCUAACAAGAACACUGUGCCUACCACAAAGAUUUGAUUCCUACCUACAUAGUGCCUUGUGAUGAUUCCUGUAUUUUUGCCUUAAAUGGAAUUUAUGGAGAAGACAUUUUUGAGAUGCAGUCUUAGAGAUUAGUGAAGAUUUAACUAAAACAUUGAUACUACAUGGUCUAAAUGAGGCAGAGAGAGCAUUUUAGAUGUGAUUCCGGCACUUGCUAAAACGAAUAGAAAAAAAUGAGGACCACCAUCAAUUCCAACAUUGAGAACUCGUAUUUUAGUUGGAAAGAAAUGCACACAGUUUGGAAUCCUAUGUAAUCAAGAUAAGAGAACAACAAUUUUCCAAAUGCUUUCCGUGGGCCAGCGUGGAAACUUAACUCUCUCACACAGACAACGAGAUUACACUCUGACACCAAGCCCUGCCCUUGUGGGAAGUAUGAUAAGCCUCAAGGCAAACAAUUCUUCCUUCGCGAUUGCAGUCUGGGCACCUGAUGAUAUAGAAUGACUCAUUGGACUCCUGCCUCUUCUACUUCAUUCUUACCAUGAGCUCCCCUAGAAGAUGUAGUCUUCCACCGUUACCAAAAUCUGCAACCAGAAAGAUCAAGCUCUAGGAAGCAGUACACACUAUACUCCUGUGUGGAAACAAAGUAAUCCUCAUCAGAUCAUCUAACUUGCUGUUGCUGUAAGGACUGUGAAUUGGUAGCAAUAAAUAAGCCAUGGGAAAUAGGAGGGAAAACACCAUCAAUGACAAUAAAAACUGAAUG
rnacentral:lncRNA from 1 species